GGGCGAUUAGCUCAGGGGUAGAGCGCCUGUCUUACACGCAGGAUGUCGGGGGUUCGAAACCCUCAUCGCCCACCA
rnacentral:tRNA from 2 species